rnacentral:rRNA from 2 species
CGCGUUGGCCCAAUUGAUUGAUGGUGCUUGCACCUGAUUGAUUUUGGUCGCCAACGAGUGGCGGACGGGUGAGUAACACGUAGGUAACCUGCCCAGAAGCGGGGGACAACAUUUGGAAACAGAUGCUAAUACCGCAUAACAACGUUGUUCGCAUGAACAACGCUUAAAAGAUGGCUUCUCGCUAUCACUUCUGGAUGGACCUGCGGUGCAUUAGCUUGUUGGUGGGGUAACGGCCUACCAAGGCGAUGAUGCAUAGCCGAGUUGAGAGACUGAUCGGCCACAAUGGGACUGAGACACGGCCCAUACUCCUACGGGAGGCAGCAGUAGGGAAUCUUCCACAAUGGGCGCAAGCCUGAUGGAGCAACACCGCGUGAGUGAAGAAGGGUUUCGGCUCGUAAAGCUCUGUUGUUAAAGAAGAACACGUAUGAGAGUAACUGUUCAUACGUUGACGGUAUUUAACCAGAAAGUCACGGCUAACUACGUGCCAGCAGCCGCGGUAAUACGUAGGUGGCAAGCGUUAUCCGGAUUUAUUGGGCGUAAAGAGAGUGCAGGCGGUUUUCUAAGUCUGAUGUGAAAGCCUUCGGCUUAACCGGAGAAGUGCAUCGGAAACUGGAUAACUUGAGUGCAGAAGAGGGUAGUGGAACUCCAUGUGUAGCGGUGGAAUGCGUAGAUAUAUGGAAGAACACCAGUGGCGAAGGCGGCUACCUGGUCUGCAACUGACGCUGAGACUCGAAAGCAUGGGUAGCGAACAGGAUUAGAUACCCUGGUAGUCCAUGCCGUAAACGAUGAGUGCUAGGUGUUGGAGGGUUUCCGCCCUUCAGUGCCGGAGCUAACGCAUUAAGCACUCCGCCUGGGGAGUACGACCGCAAGGUUGAAACUCAAAGGAAUUGACGGGGGCCCGCACAAGCGGUGGAGCAUGUGGUUUAAUUCGAAGCUAC